rnacentral:rRNA from 1 species
AGUGAACGCUGGCGGUAGGCCUAACACAUGCAAGUCGAACGGCAGCACAGUAAGAGCUUGCUCUUACGGGUGGCGAGUGGCGGACGGGUGGGGAAUACAUCGGAAUCUACUUUUUCGUGGGGGAUAACGUAGGGAAACUUACGCUAAUACCGCAUACGACCUACGGGUGAAAGCAGGGGAUCUUCGGACCUUGCGCGAUUGAAUGAGCCGAUGUCGGAUUAGCUAGUUGGCGGGGUAAAGGCCCACCAAGGCGACGAUCCGUAGCUGGUCUGAGAGGAUGAUCAGCCACACUGGAACUGAGACACGGUCCAGACUCCUACGGGAGGCAGCAGUGGGGAAUAUUGGACAAUGGGCGCAAGCCUGAUCCAGCCAUACCGCGUGGGUGAAGAAGGCCUUCGGGUUGUAAAGCCCUUUUGUUGGGAAAGAAAAGCAGCAGGUUAAUACCCCGCCGUUCUGACGGUACCCAAAGAAUAAGCACCGGCUAACUUCGUG